UUUCCUGUGGCUCAGUUGGUAGAGCAUUGCGCUAACAACACAAAGAUUGUGGGUUGAAGAAACUGACAGAAAAA